rnacentral:rRNA from 1 species
UACAGAGGGUGCGAGCGUUGUUCGGAAUUAUUGGGCGUAAAGGGCGCGUAGGCGGUGCGGUAAGUCACCUGUGAAAUCUCCUGGCUCAACUGGGAGCUUGCAGGCGAAACUGCCGUGCUGGAGUGUGGGAGAGGUGCGUGGAAUUCCUGGUGUAGCAGUGAAAUGCGUAGAUAUCAGGAGGAACACCUGUGGCGAAAGCGGCGCACUGGACCACAACUGACGCUGAGGCGCGAAAGCUAGGGGAGCAAACAGG